UCUAUUCUGCGGCGUUGGUGACUGCCAACAAGUUUAUUGAUCUAUGCUUGUUUUGUACGGGAGCCUAAUUUGCUCGGCGGCAGUAGACCAGACUUAGAUCUGGAAACUUUAAGUCGAAGCGUUGGACGCCCACCUGGUUUAGCCAGGUCACAAACUGAGGUAAAACGGCGCUGCGGGGAAGCU
rnacentral:other from 1 species